UUUCCGUAGGUGAACCUGCGGAAGGAUCAUUACUGAGUGAGGGCCCCUCGGGGUCCAACCUCCCACCCGUGUUUAACGAACCUUGUUGCUUCGGCGGGCCCGCCUCACGGCCGCCGGGGGGCAUCUGCCCCCGGGCCCGCGCCCGCCGAAGCCACCUGUGAACGCUGUCUGAAGUAUGCAGUCUGAGACAAUUAUUAAAUUAAUCAAAACUUUCAACAACGGAUCUCUUGGUUCCG
rnacentral:misc_RNA from 1 species